CUCAAACUCUCCCGGCGUCGGGCCAGCCGGGGGGAAGCUGCGAAUGCGCGAGGCGGGUGAAGGCGGAGGUGAGGAAGGAAGGGGCUGGGAAAUGGGAAGAGGUCACUCUGUCUCGGAAACUACAUAACGACUGAGAAGGACCUCCAAACAAGACUGGAACCAGUAGGAAGUUGUACAGUGGGAAGAAGAGGAUGGUCAAGAUUGACAUGGCUGGAAGAUGAGAGAACUCCCUCCUGAUGGUUUCUACUUGCCUUUGAAAUUCAUCAGCUAAGGGCGAGGAAGAGAAGUCGGGGUGUGAUUAUAUUAUAGAAGUCUCGUAUGUUUGACCCAACCACAAGAACCAUUGCACCAGAAGAGGCAAAAACCCCCUAAGAGGGAGAGAAGAGAAAACAGCAACUGGUCAAAGAGAGGAACAGAAGAGUAAAUCAGAAAAGGAAAUGGCCACCCCUGUCUAAUUAGAUGGUACCCUCUGAGAUGGAGAGAUUACAUCCCCAACUCAUCUACAUCACGUUUAAGGAUCUGAAUGGUCACUUCAGCUCCUGUUGCAUCUUAGUGGAGGCUGCUUGUGCAAAAUGACGUUUGGCA